rnacentral:rRNA from 1 species
UACGAAGGGGGCUAGCGUUGCUCGGACUCACUGGGCGUAAAGGGCGCGUAGGCGGCGUUUUAAGUCGGGGGUGAAAGCCUGUGGCUCAACCACAGAAUGGCCUUCGAUACUGGGACGCUUGAGUAUGGUAGAGGUUGGUGGAACUGCGAGUGUAGAGGUGAAAUUCGUAGAUAUUCGCAAGAACACCGGUGGCGAAGGCGGCCAACUGGACCAUUACUGACGCUGAGGCGCGAAAGCGUGGGGAGCAAACAGG